rnacentral:rRNA from 1 species
UAGGGAAUCUUCGGCAAUGGGGGGAACCCUGACCGAGCAACGCCGCGUGAGUGAAGAAGGGUUUCGGAUCGUAAAGCUCUGUUGUUAAGGAAGAACGAGUGUGAGAAUGGAAAGUUCAUGCUGUGACGGUACUUAACCAGAAAGGGACGGCUAACUACGUGCCAGCAGCCGCGGUAAUACGUAGGCCCCGAGCGUUUUCCGGAUUUAUUGGGCGUAAAGCGAGCGCAGGCGGUUAGAAAAGUCUGAAGUGAAAGGCAGUGGCUUAACCAUUGUAGGCUUUGGAAACUGUUUAACUUGAGUGCAGAAGGGGAGAGUGGAAUUCCAUGUGUAGCGGUGAAAUGCGUGGAUAUAUGGAGGAACACCGGUGGCGAAAGCGGCUCUCUGGUCUGUAACUGACGCUGAGGCUCGAAAGCGUGGGGAGCGAACAGG